rnacentral:rRNA from 1 species
GACGAACGCUGGCGGCGUGCUUAACACAUGCAAGUCGAACGAAGAGCGAUGGAAGCUUGCUUCUAUCAAUCUUAGUGGCGAACGGGUGAGUAACGCGUAAUCAACCUGCCCUUCAGAGGGGGACAACAGUUGGAAACGACUGCUAAUACCGCAUACGAUCUAACCUUGGCAUCGAGGAUGGAUGAAAGGUGGCCUCUAUUUAUAAGCUAUCACUGAAGGAGGGGAUUGCGUCUGAUUAGCUAGUUGGAGGGGUAACGGCCCACCAAGGCGAUGAUCAGUAGCCGGUCUGAGAGGAUGAACGGCCACAUUGGGACUGAGACACGGCCCAGACUCCUACGGGAGGCAGCAGUGGGGAAUCUUCCGCAAUGGACGAAAGUCUGACGGAGCAACGCCGCGUGAGUGAUGACGGCCUUCGGGUUGUAAAGCUCUGUUAAUCGGGACGAAAAGGCCUUCUUGCGAAAUA